UACGUAGGGGGCAAGCGUUGUCCGGAAUCAUUGGGCGUAAAGAGCGUGUAGGCGGCCAGAUAAGUCCGCUGUGAAAUCUCGAGGCUCAACUUCGAGCUGUCGGUGGAAACUGUCUGGCUAGAGUCCGGAAGAGGAGAAUGGAAUUCCUGGUGUAGCGGUGAAAUGCGCAGAUAUCAGGAAGAACACCCGUGGCGAAGGCGGUUCUCUGGGCAUUACCUGACGCUGAGGAGCGAAAGUGUGGGGAGCGAACAGG
rnacentral:rRNA from 1 species